rnacentral:rRNA from 1 species
AUGAACGCUAGCUACAGGCUUAACACAUGCAAGUCGAGGGGCAUCAGGAAGAAAGCUUGCUUUCUUUGCUGGCGACCGGCGCACGGGUGAGUAACACGUAUCCAACCUGCCCUUUACUCGGGGAUAGCCUUUCGAAAGAAAGAUUAAUACCCGAUAGCAUAAUGAUUCCGCAUGGUUUCAUUAUUAAAGGAUUCCGGUAAAGGAUGGGGAUGCGUUCCAUUAGGUUGUUGGUGAGGUAACGGCUCACCAAGCCUUCGAUGGAUAGGGGUUCUGAGAGGAAGGUCCCCCACAUUGGAACUGAGACACGGUCCAAACUCCUACGGGAGGCAGCAGUGAGGAAUAUUGGUCAAUGGGCGCUAGCCUGAACCAGCCAAGUAGCGUGAAGGAUGAAGGCUCUAUGGGUCGUAAACUUCUUUUAUAUAAGAAUAAAGUGCAGUAUGUAUACUGUUUUGUAUGUAUUAUAUGAAUAAGGAUCGGCUAACUCCGUGCCAGCAGCCGCGGUAAUACGGAGGAUCCGAGCGUUAUCCGGAUUUAUUGGGUUUAAAGGGAGCGUAGGUGGACUGGUAAGUCAGUUGUGAAAGUUUGCGGCUCAACCGUAAAAUUGCAGUUGAUACUGUCAGUCUUGAGUACAGUAGAGGUGGGCGGAAUUCGUGGUGUAGCGGUGAAAUGCUUAGAUAUCACGAAGAACUCCGAUUGCGAAGGCAGCUCACUGGACUGCAACUGACACUGAUGCUCGAAAGUGUGGGUAUCAAACAGGAUUAGAUACCCUGGUAGUCCACACAGUAAACGAUGAAUACUCGCUGUUUGCGAUAUACAGUAAGCGGCCAAGCGAAAGCAUUAAGUAUUCCACCUGGGGAGUACGCCGGCAACGGUGAAACUCAAAGGAAUUGACGGGGGCCCGCACAAGCGGAGGAACAUGUGGUUUAAUUCGAUGAUACGCGAGGAACCUUACCCGGGCUUAAAUUGCAGUGGAAUGAUGUGGAAACAUGUCAGUGAGCAAUCACCGCUGUGAAGGUGCUGCAUGGUUGUCGUCAGCUCGUGUCGUGAGAUGUUGGGUUAAGUCCCGCAACGAGCGCAACCCUUAUUGCCAGUUACUACGCAAGAGGACUCUGGCGAGACUGCCGUUGACAAAACGGAGGAAGGUGGGGAUGACGUCAAAUCAUCAUGCCCUUUAUGACCUGGGCUACACACGUACUACAAUGGGUGUCAACAAAGAGAAGCGAACCCGCGAGGGAGAGCAAAGCUCAAAAACACACCCCCAGUUCAGAUCGCAGGCUGCAACCCGCCUGCGUGAAGUAGGAAUCGCUAGUAAUCGCGGGUCAGCAUACCGCGGUGAAUACGUUCCCGGGCCUUGUACACACCGCCCGUCAAGCCAUGGGAGCCGGGGGUACCUGAAGUGCGUAACCGCGAGGAGCGCCCUAGGGUAAAACUGGUGAUUGGGGCU